GGUAGAGUGGCUGAGGAAAGCGUAGGGCUGUAAACCCUAGUACGGAGAUUAGACUCCCCCUAUCA
rnacentral:tRNA from 1 species